rnacentral:lncRNA from 1 species
GAUGGCUUUACACACGGAGGGGCAGACAACUGCUGCACCGCGACGGCAUCAUUUCAAAACAUAUCGCCCUGUGCGGAGCAUGAUACAGUUGCAUACAGGGAGUGAGAAAACCACUCAAUUCGAUGGUACGCGCGCACACAGAAUAUCCUUUUGGACGAUCUCUACUAGCCACGACUUACUGGCCACGAGAGGCGGCGCUGCACUGGAAUACUCCAUCUUUUCCGCGCUUCUGAACUCUUAAGCUAAUUUCUUAACCUCUGUAAUAGCUACACAUACAUGUUGCGCUGAGUGCCAGGUCUUCUAAAAGGCACAGCGUGUGCGGUUUGUCCGAUGCGGCGGCGAGAUCCACCACACCUGCUAUGUAUCAGAUACCUACGAAAAGAUCUUUGAAUGCAUAUAUAAUUAUUGUCAAGCUAUAAUUGUUUGUUCGUGGAUGUGGAACACCUCGCAAGCGAUCGAUAACGUGGGCCAGACCCUAAUCCUGUCGAAAGUACGACAAACG